UACGUAGGGGGCAAGCGUUGUCCGGAUUUAUUGGGCGUAAAGAGCGUGUAGGCGGCCAGGUAGGUCCGUUGUGAAAACUCGAGGCUCAACCUCGAGACGCCGAUGGAAACCAUCUGGCUAGAGUCCGGAAGAGGAGUGUGGAAUUCCUGGUGUAGCGGUGAAAUGCGCAGAUAUCAGGAGGAACACCGGUGGCGAAGGCGGGUCUCUGGGCCGAUACUGACGCUGAGGAGCGAAAGCGUGGGGAGCGAACAGG
rnacentral:rRNA from 1 species